GGCGAACGGGUGAGUAACACGUGGGUAAUCUGCCCUGCACUCUGGGAUAAGCCUGGGAAACUGGGUCUAAUACUGGAUAUGACCUUUCUCCUUAUGGGGUUUGGUGGAAAGUCUUUCGGUGUAGGAUGAGCCCGCGGCCUAUCAGCUUGUUGGUGGGGUGAUGGCCUACCAAGGCGACGACGGGUAGCCGGCCUGAGAGGGUGAUCGGCCACAUUGGGACUGAGAUACGGCCCAG
rnacentral:rRNA from 1 species